AUACGGAGGGUGCGAGCGUUAAUCGGAAUUACUGGGCGUAAAGCGUGCGUAGGCGGUUUGUUAAGUCAGAAGGGAAAGCCCUGGGCUCAACCUGGGAACGGCUUUUGAGACUGGCAGACUAGAGUUGAGUAGAGGGGAGUGGAAUUUCCGGUGUAGCGGUGGAAUGCGUAGAGAUCGGAAGGAACACCAGUGGCGAAGGCGACUCCCUGGACUCAAACUGACGCUGAGGUACGAAAGCGUGGGUAGCAAACAGGAUUAGAGACCCGAGUAGUCC
rnacentral:rRNA from 1 species